rnacentral:rRNA from 1 species
GUCUACAGCUGUGCCACCCUGAACGUGCCCGAUCUCAUCUGACCUUGGAAGCUAAGCAGAGUCGGGCCUGGUUAGUGCUUGGAUGGGAGACCACCUAGGAAGACCAGGUGCUGUAGGCA